rnacentral:lncRNA from 1 species
AUCAUCGAAAGGUAGUUUUUUAUACCAUAAUCUCCAAGUAAGAAAUUUUUUUUAAAAGGGAUAGAAGAAUAUUAUACCUUACAUAGAAGAUGCCCCUUUGGUUUGUUUUUUCUGAUAAUUUGCAUAGUAGUCUUAUUGGAGUAUCUUCCGUCUAGCAAAAGAUCCCAGUAAAUUGGUAAUGAGUACUUCCCAAUUUCAAUCUCCUUUAUGUGCUAAACUAUAGAACUUGGUAAAAUAUUAUGGAGUUUGUAAUGUUCCAUUCACCAUUCUGGAUGAAUUCCUUGACAAGAAUCUUAGGGCUUUUGUAUUUACCAGGUGCCAAGUCGGCAAGAGGUCCAUUACAUGUCCAAUUAUCCUACCAAAAACACCAAAAAAUAGAGUUACCUGCAUUAAAAUGCAAAUCACAUGUUGUCAUGCAAUCUUUCUAAGCUUUGUCAAAUGUUUCGAUGAUUGAGAGUUGCUAGAAAUCCAUUACUUAGCGGCAAGGUGAGCUCUAAUGCAAUAUUUGUGCUUGAGAAAGCUAGCCCAUAGAGAUGAUAUUAUUCUGAAUCUCUACCAUCUUUUGAUAGCUAGAACCUCACUGAUAUCUUCCAUUUUCCUAAUUCCUAUACCUCCCUCGUCAAUAGGAAAAAAUAGGUUCUUUCACGAUCUCCAAUAGUACUUAUUAUGGUCACCAUCAGUUUCCAGAAGGAAUUUGCAAAGUAUUUCUC